CCCUCGGGAAACUGAGGUUAAUAUCUGAUAGGAGAUUUAUACUGGAAAGAUUAAUCUUUAAAAUUCGAGCCUAAGGAUGGGGCUGCGGUGGAUUAGGUUGUUGGCGGGGUAAUAGCCCACCAAGCCUUUGAUCCAUAGGGGCUCUUAGCGGAGAAGCCCCGAGAGGGAAUCUGAGACACUAUUCCCAGCCCUACGGGGUGCAGCAGUUAGGAAUAUUCUGCAAUGCGCGUAAGCGUGACAGAUUGAGUCAGAGUGCGCUUCAAUUUGGAGUGCUUUUGCUAAAUGUAAAAAGUUUGGCGAAUAAGGACUGGGUAAGACGAGUGCCAGCCGCCGCGGUAAUACUCGCGGUCCAAGUCGCAGCCAUUUUUAUUGGGUCUAAAACAUCCGUAGCUUGCUUGGUGAGUUCCUUGUGAAAUUCUAUAUCUCAAAUAUGGAGCGUGCAGGGAGUACUGCCAAGCUAGAGACUGGAAGACGUAACGAGUACGUUUGGAGUAGCGGUAAAAUGUGUUAAUCCCGGACGGACUAACAAUAGCGAAGGCACGUUACGAGGACAGUUCUGACAGUAAGGGAUGAAGGCUAGGGGCGCAAAACGGAUUAGAUACCCGUGUAGUCCUAGCAGUAAACACUGCACACUAAACAUUAGUACCUCCUCGAGAGGUAUUGGUGCUGAAGGGAAGCCGAAGAGUGUGCUACCUGGGAAGUAUAGUCGCAAGGCCGAAACUUAAAGGA
rnacentral:rRNA from 1 species